GAAAAUUGAUACCAAGUUGCCAAAGUAAUUUUAUUAAGUGAAAGUCACAUUUGUGACAACAGAUCUUCUAAUUUUUCGAUGUAAACCCUUCAUUAUUCAACUGCAAUACACAGACAUUCACUCACUUUAGCAGGUGUCAGGAGAAAUGUUUUCCACCCAAAACCACCUUAAACAAUGUUUAGAAUACAUUCCCAGCCACUUAGAAUUGAAUUUGUGAUACUUUAUGAAGCUGUCCUACAUUUCAACAACUGUGUGGGGUCUUUUCCCACUUCUGGUUCACUUUGUAAGAUCUACUAAUAAAAUAUCACUAAUUCAGCUGUGAGUAGUGGAACAUUUAUUCUGGAUGCCCCCCAAAUUAUUGACAUAUUCAAUAAAGAAAAUGUGAUAAUGCUACUUAGAAAUACACAUGUAACGAG